rnacentral:rRNA from 1 species
CCUUAGUGGGGAGGGCCGGCGGAGGGGGAACAGAUGACUGGGGUGAAGUCGGAACAAGGUAGCCGGAGGAGAACCUGCGGCUGGAUCACCUCCUUUCGAAGGAAUAA